CUUUGCUUCCUGGCUGCCAUGACAUGAACAGCUUUACUCCACCAGGCCCUUCCACCAUGCAGGCUUGGAGCUGGCUGUCUGUGGACCGAACCUACUGAAACUCAUCUUCCCAUAGAUGCUGAAGAAGUUGGAUGUGAAACAUUUUCAUCCUGAUUAACUCCUCACCCAAUAUUUUCAGAAGGUGCAUCCAUUUUCCUAUGAAUGUCUUGAGUUUGUCCUUCUUUAUAGGAGGUGAUGGUUUUGCUCCUCCUUGAAGUAUCAGCAGGAGCUCAUGAGGAAGAGAUGGCCAAGGAAGGGCAUUCAGGCAGAGAGAGGCACAUGGUCAAGAUCCUGGUGGAAAAGAAGUGGUGCCUACAAUCCAGAUAAUUUAAGUAAACCCACGUGGCAGAUCCCGAGUUUGGUGAAACCUGUGCCCCACCUACUCCAGCCUGCUCCUGAACAACUGAAGGUGACUGGAGACAUCACAACCAUGAUUACCGGUCUACUGCUCUGACUCUUCACUUCUGACCACAGCACCUGCCAGCAACACCAUUCUGUUUUCCUAGGAGAAGCUACAAAUCAUAGAAGAGAGCUCCAAACUACUAAUCUAAGUUUGCAACCACACACCAGGCUCUCCUGGUUCUUCCAAUGGGUGAUAUAUGAGUUUCCCGUGGCUGCCAUAAGAAAUUACCACACACUUGAUGACUUAAACCAAUAAAAAUUUAUUCCCUCAGAGUUCUGGAGACUAGAAGUCUGAAAUGAAGGUGUUGGCAGAGCCAUGCUCCUCCCAAAGGCUCCAGGGCAGGGCACUUCCUGAUCUCUACGCUUCUGGUGGCUGCUGCCAGCCAGGUAUUCCUUGGAUCUCUUCAACCUCUCUCUCCAUCUUCACAUGUUCUUCUCCCCAUAUACCUCUGUCUCUGUUUUCUCUUCUUAUAGGGACUAGUUACUGGAUUAGGGCCCAUCAGAAUCCUGUAUGACCUCAUCUUAACUAAUUAUACCUGCAAAUGAGGUUAUGUUCUGAGGUUCUGGGUGAACAUGAAUUUAUAGAGGACACAAUUAAACUCAGUCUACAUGGACUCUAUGUGCCUAAGUCUAGUCCUCCAUUGUAGCUUUUUGCAUCUCCUCUUGAUUGGAUUUUUUUUUUUUGGUACCAAGGAUCGAACUCAGGACCUUGUGCUUGCGAGGCAGGCUGCAGUACCACUGAGCUAAUCCCUGGCCCUCCUCUUUACUGGAAUCUUAUUGCAAUUCUCCCCUUUCCCUAUUGCAUGACUAUUUCCCUACAUUCAUUACAUUAUUCCUGCUAUUGUACAAACUGCUGAAAUUGCUUCUAUAUUAAAAGCCUUUCUUGCAUUAACACCCCCUCCACCUACCGACCCACUUCCCUGCUCUGUAUAGCGAAAGGCCUCAAAUGAAUCACCUGUGUCCACCAUCUGUACCUCUUGUCUGCCAAGGCUUGCGAACUUAUUUCAGCCUAGCUUUCGGACUUUCCUGCACCUCCUAAGCCAGUCUCCAUCCUGUCAGGCUCUGUCAUCAUUUUACCCAACCUCCCCCAACAUUUAAUGAUCAGUCCUGCUGUGUUUCCCUUGGAUCUGAGACAGCACACUUGGGUGCUUCCCUUCUCUGUCCUCCAGCCCUUCUUGGGCUCCUUCACUGCUUCCUUUCCCUCUUCCCAAAUGCAAGCAAGAUGGAGGGCUUCCUCACUGGCCAUCUCCUCUUCCAGGCCGGUGCUCACUACCCAGUGACCACAGUGUCCCCUUUCCUUACCACCCCCUCUGCUGACCGCUUCUACCCAAGGGUCCAGGCUGAGUUCCUGACUCUUAUCAAAUACCUCCUCAUCUCCAUUGAAUGUCUUGAGUCUCUACUCAUCUUAAAAUUAACACAUCCAAGACUGAACUACUGAUUUCUCCUCACCCAGCCUAAUGCUGCCUACCAAAUUAUAUCCCCAAUUUUCCUUAUCUCAGUUAAUAGCUAUUCCAUUGACCCAAAUACUCAGACCAAAAAUUUAGGAUUCUUCUUCCUUAUUCUUACUCUAUGUACAACCCAAACAGAGCUCUUCACCUUGACGCUUCCUCCUCACACAUGGACUCUGUCCAGCUCAUUCCAAUCUCUGCCCAAGAGCCAGCGACCAGACUGUGCCGUGCCGUUGUUCGUUCCCUUGCUCACUGCUCCCUCCCCUCUAGACCCUGCAAACGACCUCUCACAUUACUUAGAAGAAUCCAGAUUCUUGUUUUGGAUUUUUGAGACAGAGUCUCUCCAUGUAGCCCAGGCUGGCCUUGAACUCGCAGCAAUCCUCCUGCCUCAGCCUGGUGGGAUUACACACGUGUGCCACCAUGCCCAGCAUAGCCAAAUUCUUGACAUUGACCUACAAGGCACUUGGUUAGCUGCUGACUUCUCUCUUUUCAGGCUCUCUCUUGCUCAGUGGCUUCAGCCACACUGGCUUAAUUGUGUGACCUUGAACACAUCAAGAUUCUUUGGAUCUGGUGCUUUGCCUUUUCUAUGUUCUCUUUCUGACAUUCUCUGCCCUUGGGUGUGAUUUUCAUUUUUAACGUCUGCUCACACUGUUUGGGUUUCUGCUCAGGUGUUUCCAUGUUGGUGAGAUCUUGCCUUCUCUAAAGCCAUAUCCCCUAGCCCAGCACACCCACCUCAAUUCCUCUCUCUCUCUUUACUGAGCUUCACGCCCUCCCCAGUUCCUCCCCAGUUCCACUAGUUGAAAGAAUAGUUUAUUAUGCACACAUUCUGUUUUCUUGACUUACGUAUUCUCUCUCUCUCCUCCAUCGCACUAUAAGCUCCAGGAGGGCAGGGUAUUAUUUGUUGUUUAGCCAGAACAACACCUGGCAUAUUGCAGAGAUAGA